rnacentral:rRNA from 1 species
CCUACGGGAGUCAGCAGUGAGGAAUAUUGGUCAAUGGGCGCGAGCCUGAACCAGCCAUGCCGCGUGCAGGAUGACUGCCCUACGGUUUGUAAACUUCUUUUGUACAGGAAUAAACUGAGACACGUAUACCUUUUUGUAUUUACUUUAUGCAUAAGGAUCGGCUAACUCCGUGCCAGCCGCCGCGGUAAUACGGAGGAUCCGAUCGUUAUCCGGAUUUAUUGUGUUUAAAGGGAGCGCAGGUGGGUUGGUAAGUCAGAUGUGAAAUUGUGAGGCUCAACCUUACAAUUGCAAUUGAUACUGGCAGGCUAGAGUACAGUUGAGGUAGGCGGAAUGCGUGGUGUAGCGGUGAAAUGCUUAGAUAUCACGAAGAACUCCGAUUGCGAAGGCAGCUUACUAAACUGCUACUGACAUUGAGGCUCGAAAGUGUGGGUAGCAAACAGGAUUAGAUACCCCAGUAGUC